rnacentral:rRNA from 1 species
AUGAAUGCUGGCGGCGUGUCUAAGGCAUGCAAGUCGAACGGAUGUAUUUUUGUAGCAAUACAGGAGUGGCGAAAGGGUGAGGAACACGUGAGUAACCUACCCCCAAGUUGGGAAUAACACCGGGAAACUGGUGCUAAUACCGAAUGUGGCUGAUGAACCGCAUGGUUUAUCAGCUAAAGAUUUAUCGCUUGGGGAGGGGCUCGCGUCCCAUUAGCUAGUUGGUGAGGUAACGGCUCACCAAGGCAACGAUGGGUAGCUGGUCUGAGAGGAUGGCCAGCCACACUGGGACUGAGACACUGCCCAGACUCCUACGGGAGGCUGCAGUCGAGAAUCUUGGGCAAUGCGCGAAAGCGUGACCCAGCAAUGCCGCGUGCAGGAUGAAGGCCUUCGGGUUGUAAACUGCUGUCACCCGGGACGAAGAAUUGACGGUACCGGGAGAGGAAGCCACGGCUAACUACGU